UGUGGGAGCUGGCUUGCCUGCGAUGGCGGCGUGUCAGUCACUACUGGUUUUUCUGAACCACCGCCAUCGCAGGCAAGCCAGCUCCCACA
rnacentral:misc_RNA from 1 species